UUUGAAAGAGAAUCAACACUCAUAAAAUAAAAGAAAGAAUGAUGCUUUGGGUUUGUUUCAGUUUCACUACGCGUUCCUAUUCUUCACAUUCCCUCUCUCUAUAAUCUCUUGAAAUUCACCAUGAUGACCCGUUUCAAAUUCAUUCAUUAAUUCUUGAAAGACGCGUUCUGUAACAAAAGAUUAUGCGAAUGGGUAAAAGUUAAGAUCGACGCUUGAGUUGGGUCGAAUAGCGAUGAUUGUUUUGGUGUUUCUUCAAAAACGAUCUCGCAACGGAGAACUGAAUCGGUUUUCUAAGGUUAAAGACCUUAGAAGUGGACUAAAUGACCCAAAAGUAGAAGUUGACGUUGUUGUUAGCUUGGCUUGGUCUCGAGAUGGUUCUCUGCAGAAAAAUAGGAUAUGAUCUUGUGAAUGAUCUCUCGGUAUUUACUGAAAGCGAUUCCAAGUUUUGUGUGGACAUCACAAGCACAAAGGAUGGCAAGUUCAUUACUGUGAAUUCAAACUCAAGGACUUCAUCUGAGGAUGGAACUUAUAUGUCUUCUAUUAUGAUUUAUACAAAAAAAAUUCUUUUCUAAUGACAUGUUUAUCUUGAUGCAUAUCACAGGUUUAUGUUAUAGAUUCUGCCAAUCCAAUGGAUGGUUUACAAAGACUAUGUGAACGUUCUUCUGGUGUACAGUAUUUUGUAGAACAUCACUCCAGUCUAUUUUAUAUCCUUACUAAUGCUCCUUUGCCUGAUAGUAAAUGUUCUGGCGGUGAGUAUUACCUUGUUAGGUGCUGAGUUGAAGAUAUACAGUCACCUAAAUUACAGAAUAUCAUCCUUCCCGAUAAAGAUACAAGGCUAUGUGAUAUGGACAUCUUUAAUGGUCAUCUGGCUGUUCUCCUCGAUAAGAAAGGUGUCUUCCUAUGUUAUGUUCUUUGAAAUUACCUUUCCAAAUUGAUUUCAAGGUAUAUUAUUAGACUUCAAUCACAAUGAAACUGAUGCUAUCUGAUAUACAUUUUCUAAGCUUAAUUUAUAUGGGAUAACUGAAUGGCUUAGUUUGAGGUUAGUUAAUUGAUAUGAAGAGGAUCAUCAAAGAGCCAAAUAAAAAUAUGUUGUGGCCUUGCUCUGUCAUGUUACUUGUUGUCUCAUUGUGCAUAAAAUUUUAUCCCAUAGCAAUAGAAUGACAGAUACACUACUGGGUAACCAUCGUGUCAAUCAUGGAUUUCUGUGCCUUCUAUUUGGAGUUCGAUUUGGAAGGCCAAGGUACCAGAGCGAGUUCGUACAUUUAUAUGGCAGACAGCGCACAAUAGAUUGCUAACCAGCAUUUAUGUGGAGAUGUUGAGGAAAACCAUCCUUCAUGCUUUAAGGGAUUGUCAACUAGCAAUGGAAUUAUGGAGAAAUUUGAUCCCUCAUAAUUAUAGAAGCCUUUCUUGGAUGUUGAAUUACAUGAAUGGAUUUGUUUGAAUUUGAACAACUCAGUUCCUUGGAAUGGUAUAAGUGGCUGGUGCGAGGUCUGCGCAGUAGCAUGCCAUAGCCUUUGGUAAUGGAGGAAUAAGGAGGCUCAUGAUGAUGAUUUUGUUAGACCAAACCUUCCAGUACAGCAGGUGUUGAAACUGCUAAGUGAGUAUGUUCAUGCCUCAAAGAAUAACUUGAUAGGUUGGUGUCCACCUCAGACAAAUUAUAUAAAAUUGAACACAAAUGGUGCAUAUAACGAACAGCAAGCGGCUGGUUGUGGGGGAGUGAUUCGAGGUUGCGACGGCGAAUGGUUGGGUGGAUUUUGCCAAAGGGUCUUGGUUUAUGCAGUUCUUUUGUCGCCGAGCUUUGGGGCGUGCUAGAAGGACUGAAGUAUGUUCGGCGGUUGGUAUGUUAAAUGCGGUUUAGUUUUAUGUAAAUCUGCCUGUUGGUAUGUUCUUUUUCAUGCACACAAUAAUUGCAACACUUCCUCGCGCACCGAAAAUUUUCUUACUCUCUAAUGAAACUUUUAUCAUUAGUUUCUGUCUAUGUGGUAUUCUGAGUUUCUGACAAUAGUUUCCUUGUAAUUUUCUUACUCUCUAAUGAAACUUUUAUUAUUUUUUGUCUUUCAUUGUGAAGGAAAAGGAAAACCUUUAUGCAUCAUUUUUGUUUUUUAAGCACUGUUUUCAUUUUAUUUUUCAGAAAAGUAAUGAUAGAAACAGAAUGUCUAUUCGGUUGACUGAGGAGGCUGAGAGAUAUAUUGAGGAUUUUAUUUCAAAUGUUGAAGAUACAGAUAUUUUGUCACUUGAUGGAGAAAGGAGUGACACAAGCUCAUCCAUCAGAGGACUGAUAAAACCAGAAACAUCUAGCAGUCCACCGUUGCCUAUAUCUCUUCCUGUUUUGAUGGAUGGGAUUAACGUAACCAUGAUUGCAAUGGGAAACAACUAGCGAACCUACUUCUAUGACAAGCAUGAAUAAAAGCACUUUUGGCAUCGACUCCAAAUAUUACCACUCUGAUUUCCACUCAGGUUAUCAUUGAACUUUUAAAUUGUUUUCACAUGAAAUGCAUUUGAUAUUUCAUGGAUGUAACAUAACCAUUUUAAUAUUAACAUAUUUAUGCAUUAAGUCUCCACACGCACA